CACGUAGGGGGCGAGCGUUGUCCGGAUUCAUUGGGCGUAAAGCGCGCGCAGGCGGCUUGGAAAGUCGGAUGUGAAAACUCGGGGCUCAACCCCGGGCGUGCAUCCGAUACUGCCAGGCUUGAGGCAGGUAGGGGAGAUCGGAAUUCCUGGUGUAGCGGUGAAAUGCGCAGAUAUCAGGAGGAACACCGGUGGCGAAGGCGCCACUCUGGGCCGAAACUGACGCUGAGGAGCGAAAGCGUGGGUAGCAAACAGG
rnacentral:rRNA from 1 species